UUAAAAAAAUAUUUACAUCUUUAUGCUGUUGAUUCACCCCCCUGAAAUAAAUCCAGAUAAAGAGCACGAUGGCCUGUGAAAGACAAAACUUCUGCACAGACGUAAUAUCAUAAAAACCAACAACCUAGACUCAAAUGCGAUUGACCAUGCCGUUUGCUGUGACAAGAAGCAUGCGAUGCACUCAAGAGUAGUAUACCCAUGUACGAUAAGAAUCCCCUAACUUUGAUAGUUCAAACUAAAUACCAAUAGAAAUAUCUAACUCUCCCAUUUUUAACCACUGUCCUCUCUUUUGUCAAGAAAAUGCAAAGAUUUAUCACCAUAAACCUAUGUGCCGAAAGUAAUAGUCAAGUAACUUGACAUUUUCUUCAAUCCAGAACCUUCUCACAAAACAAACUAUUCAACCAAGCAAAAACCCUUCCCACACUCAAAAGUUCUUAGGAAAAAAAACCAUACCUUUAAGCAACGUCGACAAUUCGUGAAACACUUUUAAAAAACAUAAAAGUGAAAG